AGCGAACGCUGGCGGCAGGCUUAACACAUGCAAGUCGAGCGGGCAUCCUUGUGGUGUCAGCGGCAGACGGGUGAGUAACGCGUGGGAACGUGCCCUUCGGUUCGGAAUAACUCAGGGAAACUUGAGCUAAUACCGGAUACGUGCGAGAGCAGAAAGGUUUAUCUGCCGAAGGAUCGGCCCGCGUCUGAUUAGCUAGUUGGUGAGGUUACGGCUCACCAAGGCGACGAUCAGUAGCUGGUCUGAGAGGAUGAUCAGCCACACUGGGACUGAGGCACGGCCCAGACUCCUACGGGAGGCAGCAGUGGGGAAUAUUGGACAAUGGGGGCAACCCUGAUCCAGCCAUGCCGCGUGAGUGAUGACGGCCUUAGGGUUGUAAAGCUCUUUUCUCCGGGACGAUAAUGACGGUACCGGAGGAAUAAGCCCCGGCUAACUUCGUG
rnacentral:rRNA from 1 species